rnacentral:rRNA from 1 species
UACGGGGGGAGCAAGCGUUGUUCGGAUUUACUGGGCGUAAAGGGCGCGUAGGCGGCGCAACAAGUCACUUGUGAAAUCUCCGGGCUUAACUCGGAAAGGUCAACUGAUACUGUGCGACUAGAGUGCAGAAGGGGCAACUGGAAUUCUCGGUGUAGCGGUGAAAUGCGUAGAUAUCGAGAGGAACACCUGCGGCGAAGGCGGGUUGCUGGGCCGACACUGACGCUGAGGCGCGAAAGCCAGGGGAGCGAACGGG